rnacentral:lncRNA from 10 species
UCAAAAUUCACUUUACUCUUCAAUGAUGUAACUUUUCAUUUGGAAAUUUCUCUGCAGUCUCUCAAUAAUUUACACAUGGAGAUAAUUGAAUAUAUGACAUGUUUUGAAGGGUAACUUCUAAUUGAGUAGAUACAUAUCUCCUUUUUUGAAACCCUUUCUUCUCUAAGCCAUCACAUUUUCCUCCAGAUUUUAUCUGAUUUUCCUCUGGCUUCCCUUUUCAGACCUUUGCUUGUUCUGGAAAGGGAAACCAGUGAGGUAGGAAUAAAAUCUUUACUGCACUUCUGUGUUGGAAUGUCCCUGCAUUGGGAGCACAGACUCUGGAGUCAAAUUGCUUGAGUUUAAAUUCUGAUUCUAUUACUUCCUAGCUAUAUGACCUUGAGAAAUUUAUUGUAUCAUUUCCCUUUUUGAAAAAUGAGGAAAAAUCAUAGUACCUGUUUCUUAGAGAUGUGGUAAAGAUUAAAUGAGUUUGGCUGGGCACGGUGGCUCACACCUGUAAUCCCAGCUCUUGGGAGGCUGAGGCAGGCGGAUUGCUUGAGCCCAGGAGUUCAAGACCAGCCUGCAACAUGGCAAGACCCCAUCUCUACAAUUAAAAAGUCGGGUGUGGUGGCCUGUACCUUUGGUCCCAGCUGCUCAGGAGGCUGAUGCUGGAGGAUCACUUGAGCCCAGACUAUCUCAAAAAAAAAGUAAAUAUAGACCAUCUUAGUGUCUGUUUAUAGUAAAUGCUAUAUUAAUGGCUAUACUAAUGGUAGCUAUUGUUAUUUCCCAAGCUUUUAAAUUUGGUGCUGAAAUGGAAGGGGACUCGCCUUUUGGGUUAUGGAGCUGGAAAAUGCCAGUUAAUGACUGCUGGUAGUCCUUUCCCUACCAUGUGGAAAAAGUCUGCAUGAGACGAGAUUGAGGUUAACACAUGAAAGGAGUCAAGAAAAAGGGAGGAGUAUAAUAGUCAACAUUCUUGAUUAUGAACAACAGAUCCAUUCCAAAUAGUCCAAAAAUAAGCAAAAGUGGAUUUAUUAAAAGAUAUUAGGUAGCUCAAGGAAUUUCCAGAAUUGCUGGAAAACAGGCUUGAUAGUUCAUUGCCAUGGACAUUGAAGCUAAGAACACUGGCUGAUCUUGCUGAAAAAUUAUACUGGCAAAAACAUCAUUCCUACUACCUGUUGCCAAUUGAUAUGGCACCAACCCUGAACCUGAAGCCAUAAUCUGUGUUGCUGUUGCCCCAAAAGAACUAGAUUCCUUGACCACUGUCCUUGUCAGGAAAUCAAUCUCCCAGUGUGGGGCCAUCACUGAUUAUAACUCCCCUCCACAUUCAAGUCUCCUGUAGUUGUAUCUGUUUGGCAAUGCCUAGAUCAUACACCUUUACUCUAAAUGCAAAGAAAUCCAGUAAAUGUAAUUUUUUAUAUUCUACUUUUAGAAGAAAUAAUUCACAAUAUGGAAAACUAUAAAAAUGUGAAAAUGUUUUUCAGCAGCUAUAAAUAAUAUGUUUUCAAUAUAGAUUCCUGUGGUAGAGAGGGGGAACUGUUGACUUCAUGUGAAAUCCUUGGAUCCAGCUGGACCUAAGACUACUCUUUGGAACUUCAUGUUUUAUGAAACAAUAAGUUUCUUCCUUUAGUUGAGAGAGUUUGAGUUAGCUUUUUGUCAGUUCUAUUUAGUGUUAUUAUUAAUGCAGCUUCCAACCUUUCUGAUCCAAGGUUCACUACUGCAAUAUCCCCAUAAUUGGUCUCUUGCCCCCCAUACCCACCCUUCUAUCUUUUCUCUUCUCUAGAGUCAGGUAAUUUUUCAUAAAUAUAACUAUUUAUGUCAUCCUUCUGCCCAAAACUCUAAAUGGCUUUCUGUUGCUUUUUGAUGAAAACCAAGGUUCCAACAUAGUAUAUACUCUCUAUAACUGGGCUUUGUUCACUUUUUCAGGCUUAACCUUUUUGCUGAUUUUUCUGCUCAAGUCUUGCUGGCCUUAAUUUUGUUCCUUAAACAUAGCAACUUCUCAUCUUAUCAAGGCCUUCAGACAGGCUGUUUCUUGCCCCUAGAGAGCUCCUUCCACUCUGUCAUUCUCCCUUAUCCUCCUACUGCUCAAUCCCCAGCAAUCUCCUCUUUAUCUUUUGUCUUUUGACUUAGAUGUUACUUCAAGAAUGUCAUUAGAAUGGGAGCUCUUUGGAGCCAGGGAAUUUGUCUGUUUUGUUCACUGUUGUAUGCCCACUGCGUAGAGCAGUGAAUGUUGAAUGAACAAAUGAGGGAGGAAGGGUUUCAUCCUCCCAGUCCGUGAGAUUUCUUCUUACUUUCCCAGCAUGCCCAAAGCCUGUAAUUUUUUGUUUAAAUCGGCAUUCACAUCAAAGCACACUGCUAUAGUUAGGAUGUUUGUCCCCCAAACCUUGAAAUUUGAUCUCCAGUGUUGGAGGUGGGGGCCCAAUGAGAGCUGUUUGGGUCAUGGGGGCAGAUUCAUCAUGAAUGGCUUGGUUCCAUCCUCACAGUAAUUAGUGAAUUCUCGCUCUGUUAGUUCCCACCAGAGCUGGUUGUUAAAAAGAGCCUGGUACCUCCCUCCCCUCUCUCUCUUGCAUCUUCUCUCACCACGUGAUAUCUGCAUGCACUGGCUCCCCUUUGACUUCCACCGUGCACUGGCUCCCCUUUGACUUCCACCGUGAAUGGAAGCAACCUGAGGCUUUUAUCAGAUGCCCAAUCUUUCAGCCAGCAGAACCAUGAACCAAAUAAACAUUUUUUUCUUUAUAAAUUAUUCAGUCUCAGGUUUUCCUUUAUAGCAAUGCAAAUGGACUAAGACAGAAACUAUCAACAGAAUGAAAAAGCAACCAUGGAAUGGUAGAAAAUGUUUGCAAAUCUUAUAUCUGAUAAGGGAUAAUAUCCAGAGUAUAUAAAGAACUCCUAAAACUCAACAAUAACAACAAAAAAUCCAAUUUAAAAAUGGGGAAAGGACUUAAAUAGACAUUUCUCCAAAGAAUGUAUACAGGUAUCUAAUAAAUGUGAGAAGAUGCCCAACACCACUAAUUAUUUGUAAAUGAACAUCAAAAUCACAAUGAGAUACCACUUCAUACUGGCUAUUAUUAAAAACAAACAAACAAAAAACCAGAAAAUAACAAGUGUUGAUGAGGAUAUAGAGAAAUUAGGGCACUAGGACAUUACUGGCAGGCAUGUAUAAUAGUGCACCCUCUGUGAAAAAUGGCAUAGUGGUUUCUCAAAAAAUUAAAAAUAGGCUUACCAUAUGAUCCAGCAAUUCCACUUCUGGGUAUAUUCAAAAUAUUGAAAGCAGGGACUCAAACAGAUAAUGGUACAACAAUGUUCACAGCAGCAUUAUUCACAAUAGCCAAAAGAUGGAAAGAACCCAAGUGCCCAUCAAUGGAUGAAUGGAUAAACAAAAUGUGAUAUUUACAUAUAACAGAAUUAUUCAACCUUAAAAAGUAAUGACAUUCUGAUGCUUGCUACAACCUGGGUGAACCUUGAAGACAUUAUCCUAGGUGAAAUAAGCCAGAAACGAAAGGACAAAUAUUGUAUAAUUCCACUUGUGUGAGAUAUCUAGUGAAGUCAAAUUCAUAAAGACAACAGAUAAAAUGGUCAAAAGAGGUGGGGGGCAGAGGGAAAAGGAGGAUUAUUAUUUAUUGGGUACAGAAUUUCAGCUUGACAAGAUGAAAAGGGGUCUGGAGAUGGAUGUUGGUGAUGGUUGCACAACAAUGUGAAUGUGUUUAAUGCCACUGAACUGCACACCUAAAAAUGUU